CAUCUCAUGUUUAAAAUGGCUGUGAUAUCCAAGAGAAGGCAUCAACAGACAGCUAUGUAAGAGUCUAGUGUGAACGUGCAAGCUAACUUUUGGCAAGAAGACAGUGACCCACAGGACCGAGUCAAAACUGGAGCACUCAAUAUAUCUUGAAGAAAAAAGCAGAUCUUCUUCUUAACAUCUUUCUACAUUCAGCAGAAGAAAGAAUGUCAGAUGGGCU
rnacentral:lncRNA from 1 species